AAAGUCAAAUAGCACGUGAAAUUGUUGAAAGGGAAACGAUUGAAGUCAGUCGUACCGAUGGGCACUCGGCCUCUCGGGUGGGAUCGUGUCAGAUGUGGGAAGAUCUCACUUUGCCACUGUUCCUGCCUCUGGGGUGUAAUUGUCCGUAUGGUAGGUUAACAUCAAUUUUGGUCGUCAUAAAAUGACGGGAGGAAUGUAGCUUCCUUGGAAGUGUUAUAGCCUCUGGUAGAUGUGAUGAUCGGGAUUGAGGAUUGCAGCGAAUACCCUUCGGGGCUACCCGUCUGGCCUCUGGUCGUCGUCUUGGUGCCGAAAGCGUGCUUAUGGUAUCAAAGUUGAUUGUCAAAAGGUUAGAACGCGAUUACAUUCGUUAAGGAUGUUGACGUAAUGGCUUUAAACGACC
rnacentral:rRNA from 1 species